CGGACGCGGUGGGUGGGCGGGGACUCGGCGGAGCCUCGUUCCCCGCAAACCCCCAGGGGCUGUAGCGCCGAGGUGCCGCCCGAGUCGCAGUUUCUAGGAACUUCAUUCUCAAGUGUUAGUCCUUGAAAAAAGUUGCUGCUUAUAUCCCGCCAUUGGUGGCCCAUCGUCUUUACGAGGAUUAUGUAAGUGACCUCCGUGCCGUUGCUCUCUCUGACCAGUCAAGCAUGAUUGUGAG
rnacentral:lncRNA from 1 species